rnacentral:rRNA from 1 species
UACCAGUUGGAAACGACUUUUAAUACCGCAUAGUACCUGUGGAUUAAAGGUGGCUUUUGGGAUGUCGCAGAUGGAUGAGCCUGCAUUUGACUAGCUAGUUGGUGGGCUAAGGGGGUACCAAGGCUACGAUCCAUAGCUGCUUUGAGAGGAUGAUCAGCCACAUUCUGACUGAGACACGGCCCAAACUCAUACGGGAGGCAGCAGUGAGGAAUAUUAGACAAUGGGGGCCACUCUGAUCCAGCAAUGCCAUGUGUGUGAAGAAGGCCUUAGGGUUGUAAAGCACUUUAGUUGGGGAAGAAAGCUUUGAGGUUAAUAGCCUUGAGGAAAAUGACGUUACCCAAAGAAUAAGCACCGGCUAACUCCGUG